CUGGAGGUAUCAGAAGUGCGAAUGCUGACAUAAGUAACGAUAAAGCGGGUGAAAAGCCCGCUCGCCGGAAGACCAAGGGUUCCUGUCCAACGUUAAUCGGGGCAGGGUGAGUCGACCCCUAAGGCGAGGCCGAAAGGCGUAGUCGAUGGGAAACAGGUUAAUAUUCCUGUACUUGGUGUUACUGCGAAGGGGGGACGGAGAAGGCUAUGUUGGCCGGGCGACGGUUGUCCCGGUUUAAGCGUGUAGGCUGGUUUUCCAGGCAAAUCCGGAAAAUCAAGGCUGAGGCGUGAUGACGAGGCACUACGGUGCUGAAGCAACAAAUGCCCUGCUUCCAGGAAAAGCCUCUAAGCAUCAGGUAACAUCAAAUCGUACCCCAAACCGACACAGGUGGUCAGGUAGAGAAUACCAAGGCGCUUGAGAGAACUCGGGUGAAGGAACUAGGCAAAAUGGUGCCGUAACUUCGGGAGAAGGCACGCUGAUAUGUAGGUGAAGUCCCUUGCGGAUGGAGCUGAAAUCAGUCGAAGAUACCAGCUGGCUGCAACUGUUUAUUAAAAACACAGCACUGUGCAAACACGAAAGUGG
rnacentral:rRNA from 1 species